rnacentral:rRNA from 1 species
CCUACGGGGGGCAGCAGUCGAGAAUCAUUCACAAUGGGGGAAACCCUGAUGGUGCGACGCCGCGUGGGGGAAUGAAGGUCUUCGGAUUGUAAACCCCUGUCAUGUGGGAGCAAAUUAAAAAGAUAGUACCACAAGAGGAAGAGACGGCUAACUCUGUGCCAGCAGCCGCGGUAAUACAGAGUUCUCAAGCGUUGUUCGGAAUCACUGGGCGUAAAGCGUGCGGAGGCUGUUUCGUAAGGCGUGUGUGAAAGGCGCGGGCUCAACCCGCGGACGGCACAUGAUACUGCGAGACUAGAGUAAGGGAGGGGGAACCGGAAUUCUCGGUGUAGCAGUGAAAUGCGUAGAUAUCGAGAGGAACACUCGUGGCGAAGGCGGGUUCCUGGACAUUAACUGACGCUGAGGCACGAAGGCCAGGGGAGCGAAAGGGAUUAGAUACCCGGGUAGUC